AAACAUCGCCUCUUGUAAACUUAACAGAUAAGAGGUCCCGCCUGCCCUGUGACUAUUAGUUUAACGGCCGCGGUAUUUUGACCGUGCGAAGGUAGCGCAAUCACUUGUCUUUUAAAUGAAGACCUGUAUGAAUGGCAUAACGAGGGCUUAACUGUCUCCUCUCUCCAGUCAAUGAAAUUGAUCUUCCCGUGCAGAAGCGGGAAUAUAAACAUAAGACGAGAAGACCCUAUGAAGCUUUAGACACCAAGACAGAUCAUGUUAAUAACCCUAAAUAAAGGCUUAAACCAAAUGGAACCUGCCCUAAUGUCUUUGGUUGGGGCGACCGCGGGGCAUUGAAAAACCCCCACGUGGAGUGGGAGCACCCCUCCUACAACCAAGAGCCACAGCUCUAAUAAACAGAAAUUCUGACCAGCAAGAUCCGGCAAUGCCGAUCAACGGACCGAGUUACUCUAGGGAUAACAGCGCAAUCCUCUUUUAGAGCCCAUAUCGACAAGGGGGUUUACGACCUCGAUGUUGGAUCAGGACAUCCUAAUGGUGCAGCCGCUAUUAAGGGUUCGUUUGUUCAACGAUUAAAGUCCUACGUGAUCUG
rnacentral:rRNA from 1 species